rnacentral:rRNA from 1 species
AGUGAACGCUGGCGGUAUGCCUAACACAUGCAAGUCGAACGGCAGCACAGUAAGAGCUUGCUCUUACGGGUGGCGAGUGGCGGAAGGGUGCGGAAUACAUCGGAAUCUACUUUUUCGUGGGGGAUAACGUAUGGAAACUUACGCUAAUACCUCAUACGACCUACGGGUGAAAGCAGGGGAUCUUCGGACCUUGCGCGAUUGAAUGAGCCGAUGUCGGAUUAGCUAGUUGGCGGGGUAAAGGCCCACCAAGGCGACGAUCCGUAGCUGGUCUGAGAGGAUGAUCAGCCACACUGGAACUGAGACACGGUCCAGACUCCUACGGGAGGCAGCAGUGGGGAAUAUUGGACAAUGGGCGCAAGCCUGAUCCAGCCAUACCGCGUGGGGGAAGAAGGCCUUCGGGUUGUAAAGCGCUUUUGUUGGGAAAGAAAAGCAGCAGGUUAAUACCCCGCUGUUAUGACGGUACCCAAAGAAUAAGCACCGGCUAACUUCGUG